GGCCUAAUAGGUAUGUAUAUCUAUUAAUAGUCAAUACUAAUAAAACCUGGUCACCUUAUGAAAAUAUUAAAUGAAAAAUUAACUAAACCAAAUAAAAGAAAAUACAAACAUAAAUGUCUUUGUAGAAAAGAAGAGAGAAGAGGGUACAAAAAGCAUAGUUUAAUGCACACACAAUAUGAGGACUAUCACAAUAUAUAAUCAAGAUAUCACCAUCUCUCCAACCUUGAAGUGUCAUCCUUCGUGCCAUCAAGGCUCUUGGCAACCAAAUCAAACAAC
rnacentral:lncRNA from 1 species